GUCUGGUCCUGCUGCAGUGAUAUUCACAAAUAAUUGAUCACAACCAGUUACAGAUUUCUUUGUUCCUUUUCCACUCCCACUGCUUCACUUGACUAGCCCUAA
rnacentral:Y_RNA from 1 species